AACUGUGUGAAUUAAUGUGAAUCGCAGACUGCUUUGAACAUCGACCUCUUGAACGCACAUUGCGGCCGUAGGCUUGCCUACGGCCACGUCUGGCCGAGGGUCGGGCUUAUAAACUAUCACGGUGCGCUGAAAACCCGUGGCUUGAAGGGUUGCCAACUGGCGGGAAAACUCGGGCUUCCUGUGUUGCUGCUUCUCUAUUACGUGUG
rnacentral:rRNA from 1 species